GUCAUUUUGUUUGGGGGAGGAGUUAUAGCUAAUAUUAGGGGGGGUAGCACCCCCCCCCCCCACAAAAUCCGUCUAUGCUUUUUAAUCUAGUUAACUUAGGUAACUGAGGAGUGAUUCAGAUUAGCAAGCAAGUCUCCAGGUCUAUUGUUCUUGCAAUUUUGUAUAGAUACAGUAUAGCUAUUUCAAUUAAGGUUGUCCCCCAAGCAAAGCAG